rnacentral:rRNA from 1 species
UACGGGGGGGGCAAGCGUUGUUCGGAAUUACUGGGCGUAAAGGGCUCGUAGGCGGCCAACUAAGUCCGACGUGAAAUCCCAAGGCUUAACCUUGGAACUGCGUCGGAUACUGGAUGGCUUGAAUUCGGGAGAGGGAUGCAGAAUUCCAGGUGUAGCGGUGAAAUGCGUAGAUAUCUGGAGGAAUACCGGUGGCGAAGGCGGUCAACUGGCCCUCAACUGACGCUGAGGCACGAAAGCGUGGGGAUCAAACAGG